rnacentral:rRNA from 1 species
AUACGGAGGGUGCAAGCGUUAUUCGGAAUCACUGGACGUAAAGGACGCGUAGGCGGGUUGGCAAGUCAGAUGUGAAAUCCUACAGCUUAACUGUAGAACUGCAUUUGAAACUGCUAACCUAGAGUAUGGGAGGGGGAGAUGGAAUUAGUGGUGUAGGGGUAAAAUCCGUAGAUAUCACUAGGAAUACCGAAAGCGAAGGCGAUCUCCUGGAACAUAACUGACGCUAAGGCGUGAAAGCGUGGGGAGCAAACAGGAUUAGAAACCCUUGUAGUCC